CGGCAGGCCUAACACAUGCAAGUCGAGGGGUAACAGGGAGCUUGCUCCGCUGACGACCGGCGCACGGGUGCGCAACGCGUAUACAAUCUGCCUUAUGCUGAGGGAUAGCCCAGAGAAAUUUGGAUUAAUACCUCAUGGUAUCGAGAGACGGCAUCGUUUUUUGAUUAAAGGUCACGGCAUAAGAUGAGUAUGCGUCCCAUUAGCUAGUUGGUGUGGUAACGGCACACCAAGGCAACGAUGGGUAGGGGUCCUGAGAGGGAGAUCCCCCACACUGGUACUGAGACACGGACCAGACUCCUACGGGAGGCAGCAGUGAGGAAUAUUGGACAAUGGGCGGAAGCCUGAUCCAGCCAUGCCGCGUGCAGGAAGACGGUCCUAUGGAUUGUAAACUGCUUUUAUACGGGAAGAAUAAGGGCUACGUGUAGCCUGGUGACGGUACCGUAAGAAUAAGGAUCGGCUAACUCCGUGCCAGCAGCCGCGGUAAUACGGAGGAUCCAAGCGUUAUCCGGAAUCAUUGGGUUUAAAGGGUCCGUAGGCGGACUAUUAAGUCAGGGGUGAAAGUCUGCAGCUCAACUGUAGAAUUGCCCUUGAUACUGGUAGUCUUGAGUUAUGGUGAAGUGGCUAGAAUAUGUAGUGUAGCGGUGAAAUGCAUAGAUAUUACAUAGAAUACCGAUUGCGAAGGCAGGUCACUAACCAUAUACUGACGCUGAUGGACGAAAGCGUGGGGAGCGAACAGGAUUAGAUACCCUGGUAGUCCACGCCGUAAACGAUGGAUACUAGCUGUUCGGACUUCGGUCUGAGCGGCCAAG
rnacentral:rRNA from 1 species